rnacentral:rRNA from 1 species
CCCUUAGAUGUCCUGGGCUGCACGCGCGCUACACUGAUGUGUCCAGUAAGCACCUAACCUCUCCCGAAAGGAACGGGUAACCUUUGCAAAGCACAUCGUGAUGGGGAUAGAUUAUUGCAAUUAUUAGUCUUGAACGAGGAAUUCCUAGUAAGCACAAGUCAUCAGCUUGUGUUGAUUACGUCCCUGCCCUUUGUACACACCGCCCGUCGCUCCUACCGAUUGAAUGUUCCGGUGAGCUCUUCGGACUGCGCGGUCUGCAGUUUCUGCGUUCCGUGCGGAAAGUUGCGCAAACCUUAACAUUUAGAGGAAGGAGAAGUCGUAACA